UAUUAUUGCAGUUCUGUAGAAGGGUUGGAUCCGACGCCUCUAGAAGGCUACUAUAGGCUCUCCUUC
rfam:Anopheles epiroticus strain epiroticus2 unplaced genomic scaffold supercont1.425, whole genome shotgun sequence.